rnacentral:rRNA from 1 species
AGUAACGCGUAUCCAACCUUCCGUACACUCAGGGAUAGCCUUUCGAAAGAAAGAUUAAUACCUGAUGGUAUGAUGAGAUUGCAUGAUAGCAUCAUUAAAGAUUCAUCGGUGUACGAUGGGGAUGCGUUCCAUUAGGUAGUAGGCGGGGUAACGGCCCACCUAGCCUACGAUGGAUAGGGGUUCUGAGAGGAAGGUCCCCCACAUUGGAACUGAGACACGGUCCAAACUCCUACGGGAGGCAGCAGUGAGGAAUAUUGGUCAAUGGACGAGAGUCUGAACCAGCCAAGUAGCGUGAAGGAUGAAGGUCCUACGGAUUGUAAACUUCUUUUAUAAGGGAAUAAAACCUCCCACGUGUGGGAGCUUGUAUGUACCUUAUGAAUAAGCAUCGGCUAACUCCGUGCCAGCAGCCGCGGUAAUACGGAGGAUGCGAGCGUUAUCCGGAUUUAUUGGGUUUAAAGGGAGCGCAGACGGGUCGUUAAGUCAGCUGUGAAAGUU